rnacentral:rRNA from 1 species
GACGAACGCUGGCGGCGUGCUUAACACAUGCAAGUCGAGCGGUAAGGCCUCUUCGGGGGUACACGAGCGGCGAACGGGUGAGUAACACGUGGGUGACCUGCCCUCAGCUCUGGGAUAAGCCUGGGAAACUGGGUCUAAUACCGGAUAUGACCUUGCCUCGCAUGGGGUGGGGUGGAAAGUCCUGGGCUUGAUUGUCUGGGCUCGGCUGGGGAUGGGCCCGCGGCCUAUCAGCUGGUUGGUGGGGUGAUGGCCUACCAAGGCGACGACGGGUAGCCGGCCUGAGAGGGCGACCGGCCACACUGGGACUGAGACACGGCCCAGACUCCUACGGGAGGCAGCAGUGGGGAAUAUUGCGCAAUGGGCGGAAGCCCUGACGCAGCGACGCCGCGUGGGGGAUGACGGCCUCGGU